AUACGUUUGUUUAAAAGAUUAAGCUAUGUAUGUGUAAGUUUAAAUAAAAAUAGAAUAAAACUGUGAAUGGCUUAUUAAACCAGUUAUGAAUUGUAUAAUAAUUAUUUUAAAAGUGGAAUAUAUUUGGUAAUUCUAAGGCUAAUACAUAGAUAUUUUGUUUUAUUAAAAAAUUAUUUUAUUAUAAAGAAGAUAUUUUAUAUUUUGGUAUAAAAAUGCUUGAAAGUAUAUAAUUACGAGAAAUUCAUUAAUUAAUGAGUUUAUGAUAAUGUUUUUGACCUAUCAGUUUUUGAUAAUAUAGUAUAGGUUUAUUAUGGCUUUGACAGGUAACGGAAAAUUAGGGUUUGAUUCCGGAGAGGGAGCUUGAGAUAUAGUUAUCACAUCUAAGGAAGGCAACWGGCGCGUGAAUUACCCACUUUUAAUAUGAAGAGGUAGUUAUGAAAAAUAACAAUUCAGGAUAAGUUAAUUGUUUUGUAGUUGGAAUAUAAUUUAUUUAUAAAAUCUAUUGAGUAUUGAUUAGAGGGCAAGCCUGGUGCCAGCAGCCGCGGUAAUUCCAGCUCUAAUAAUGUAUAUUAAUAUUGUUGCAGUUAAAAAGCUCGUAGUUGAAAAUAUAUAGAAAAACAAUUAAUAAUUGAUAUGUUAUUAAAAUAUUCAAGAGUUUUGUUUUUAAAUAUUAUUAUUUAUUAUUUUUUCAAUAUAUUUGAAGGUUGCUUAAAUAUAUAAUAUAAAGUACUUUAAGAAAAGUAGGGUGCUUCAAGCGUGUUGUCGCAUGGAAUAUUUUAGUAUGGAAUAUGAAUAGAUAAAUAAAGUUUUUUUGAGUUUUUUGGAUUUUUUUAAAAUUACAAAUAGGGAUAGUUGGGGGCAUUUGUAUUAAACUGCAAGAGGUGAAAUUCUUAGAUUGGUUGAAGACAUAUUAAUGUGAAAGCAUUUGUCAAAAGUAUAUUUAUUAAUAAAGAACGAAAGUUAGGGGAUCGAAGACGAUCAGAUACCGUCGUAGUUUUAAUUAUAAACUUUGUUGUUUUGAAAUUAGAUAUUUAUUGUGUAAAGUGAUAUUUUUUGGUAUUGUAUGAGAAAUUAAAGAUUUUGGGUUUUGGGGGGAGUAUGGUCGCAAGGCUGAAACUUAAAGGAAUUGACGGAAGGGCACCACCAGGAGUGGAGCCUGCGGUUUAAUUUGACUCAACACGGGAAAUCUUACUAGUGCCAGACAUAUGAAGGAUUGACAGAGAAAUAGUAUUUUCUUGAUUUUAUGGGAGGUGGUGCAUGGCCGUUCUUAGUUGGUGGAGUGAUUUGUCUGGUUAAUUCCGUUAACGAACGAGAUUUUAACAUAUUAAAUAAGAGGAGAGAAAAAUUGAAUUUCUAUCAUUUAUAAAAGGAAUUUUGUGUGUUUAGUACAAGGAAGGAUAAAGCAAUAACAGGUCUGGGAUGCCCUUAGAUGUUUUGGGCUACACGCGCGCUACAAUAAUAGUGUAAAAAAGUUGUGUAUUCUUGUUUGAUAAGAUUUAGGGUAAUCUGAGAAGUAUUGUUUAAAUAGGGAUAAAUUAUUGUAAUUAUUAAUUUUGAACAAGGAAUUCCUAGUAAAAUCAAUUCAUUAUUUUGUGUUGAUUACGUCCCUGCCCUUUGUACACACCGCCCGUCGCUCCUACCGAUUGAGUGAUUAGGUGAGUUGCUUAGAAAAGUGAUUUUAUCUUUUAUAUUAAUAUAAUGUUUGUUAAUUUGAAGAUGUGUAAAUCUCAUCA
rnacentral:rRNA from 1 species